rnacentral:rRNA from 1 species
UGGGGAAUUUUGGACAAUGGGGGCAACCCUGAUCCAGCAAUGCCGCGUGUGUGAAGAAGGCCUUCGGGUUGUAAAGCACUUUUGUCCGGGAAGAAAUCCCCUGCCCUAAUACGGCGGGGGGAUGACGGUACCGGAAGAAUAAGCACCGGCUAACUACGUGCCAGCAGCCGCGGUAAUACGUAGGGUGCGAGCGUUAAUCGGAAUUACUGGGCGUAAAGCGUGCGCAGGCGGUGAUGUAAGACCGAUGUGAAAUCCCCGGGCUCAACCUGGGAACUGCAUUGGUGACUGCAUUGCUCGAGUAUGGCAGAGGGGGGUGGAAUUCCACGUGUAGCAGUGAAAUGCGUAGAGAUGUGGAGGAACACCGAUGGCGAAGGCAGCCCCCUGGGCCAAUACUGACGCUCAUGCACGAAAGCGUGGGGAGCAAACAGGAUUAGAUACCCUGGUAGUCCACGCCCUAAACGAUGUCAACUGGUUGUCGGGCCUUCAUUGGCUUGGUAACGUAGCUAACGCGUGAAGUUGACCGCCUGGGGAGUACGGUCGCAAGAUUAAAACUCAAGGAAUUGACGGGGUCAUAGCUGUUUCCU